rnacentral:rRNA from 1 species
AUUGAACGCUGGCGGCAUGCCUAACACAUGCAAGUCGAACGGGGGUAGCGAUACCCUAGUGGCGGACGGGUGAGGAAUGCGUAGGAAUCGGCCCACGAGUGGGGGACAACCUGGGGAAACUCAGGCUAAUACCGCAUGAGCUCGGGAGAGGAAAGCGGGGGAUCUUCGGACCUCGCGCUGGUGGACGAGCCUACGUCCGAUUAGCUGGUUGGUGAGGUAAAGGCUCACCAAGGCGACGAUCGGUAGCGGGUCUGAGAGGACGACCCGCCACACUGGGACUGAGACACGGCCCAGACUCCUACGGGAGGCAGCAGUGGGGAACAUUGGACAAUGGGCGCAAGCCUGAUCCAGCAAUGCCGCGUGGGUGAAGACGGCCUGCGGGUUGUAAAGCCCUUUAGGCGGGAGGAACGACCGGACGCUAACAUCGUCUGGAAGAGACGUUACCGCAGAAUAAGCACCGGCUAACUCCGUGCCAGCAGCCGCGGUAAU